AGGAAAGGUGUCCACGUCACUUUAAAAAUCAACCAAUAAUGAAGUUUCAUUUUGCCACGUCAGUCUGCUGUUAGUCAACACAAAAUUUUCGCAGGCCAACUUAGUUAUGGGCUUCUGAUUUUCUGUGUUGUCGUGGCUCAUCAUUAUAGCCCAAAAUACAUAUCAUUAUUAUUCAAAAUACGGGCAAAAUUAAUUAAUCACAGCCACCGUUUACAACCUUUUCAGAUUUCUCUACUGUAAAGAUUCUGAUUUAAUUGACAUAAAGUUUACCUAGCCAUCUGUUACCUCUUCUUCAUCUUCUGCCGUUUAGAGUAUGCUCAAACUUCUACAUGUCAAUCCAUUUUCCAACUUCUCUUUGAUACAUAUAUAUAUAUAGACUCCAAAUCCUUGAACCAUCGCUAUGGUGGCCCUAAAACGCUCCAAAUCGUCGAUCUCUGACUGUUUACUUCGACAAAGUCGCCGCCUGUCAAGUUGAUUCACUUUUGAGAAGCCCAUAUCCCGCUAAAGUCGGGAUGCUAAUCGGCCUUCACCUGCUUCUGAUCGAAGAAUAGGUAUGACCUAAUCUUCUCAAACCCCUCAAUUUGAUAGUGCCAGUUUAUGUAACCUAACAUAUAUCACACAUCCACAUGGCUCCAUUGUUCUGAAGCCGCUAUGAAGAUUUUCUGAAGCGUGUCUCCUCCUACAGUUCUUUAGGGAAUCCACACAUUGCUUUUGAACCAGUCAAUCGGAAUCGAAAUGGGUGUUUCAGAAAUGCAUUUGGAGUAACGGCGAGUGCGGCGUCUUCUUCGUUAGUCUCUACGAUCUGCGCGACGGCGAGAAGAGAUUGCUGACGUUUCGGCUGAACACCGGGGCGUGCGAUCGGAUUUCGGCGGUUACGCUUCAGAGAGAGUUUAUGAGAGAGACGACGGUUGCGGAUGGAUGUUGCGACGAACACGUGGCGAAGGAUGUGGGGUUAGGUAAGGCGAUAGAGGAGAUGAUUCCGAGUGGGGAAGGGGAUAAACUGUUUUGGGCGCAUUGGAUGGACGUGCUGGGUUACUCGCUGAAUGCAUUCCGGUUCUCGAAUUUGAGUUUCGUGGAUGGACGCUGAAGACCCGAACCGGAGAUCUCAGGUGGUAAGGAUGAAACUGGAAAAAGAUCAGACUCUUAAACUUGUGGCUGUAAGUGUCUCUCCUUAUUCCAGCAACUUCUAUAGUUGUGUGCGCAGAUUUGCUUACCAUUAUUGCUUAUUAAGCUAGAUUAUAUACUUUACUAUUAAUUUAUUUAAAUAUUUAAUAUUAUAUUGAAAUGAUAAUCUUUUCUGAUAGAUAGUGGUUAUAUAUGAACACUUAUCUCUGCAAUCAAACAGUGUUAUCUAAAUUGUUUGUUAAAUGAUGAAUGGACAAAAUAAGUCCCAAGGCGUUUUCAUAUUUGAUGACAAGGGGUCCGGCUACAGAAGUAAGCUUCAGCUUAGGAACUAAGGAAACCAAAGUUGUGUUUUGUAAUUAUACUAUGUUUUUGGAAUUAUGUUCAUUGGCGUAAGUUGCCGUUAGUCGGUAAGAUUGUACUUGCUUUUUAACCUUUUCCUUAGUGAUUUUCAAAAUUGGUAAAGACCUAUUUAAGUU